rnacentral:rRNA from 1 species
CAGUACCGUGAGGGAAAGUUGCAAAGAACUUUGAAGAGAGAGUUCAAGAGGGCGUGAAACCGCUGAGAAGGAAACGGAUAGAGUUGACGAAACACAGCGGCAUUCAUCCGACCUGUCCUGGCAACUGGCUGCCCGGUAUAGAUCGUUCUCCUCGGGGAAUGACGGUCUGGCUGUCAGCUUAGUCGGCUGGUUGGUGCUUUUGCCGUUGGUAUGCGCGGAGACGUUCGCUGUGGCGUGUCGACGUCGAUGUCAGAGGACCAGUGCCAAAUGGUACUGGAAACCUGACUCGGCUUAGGUAUGUUCGCGGUGAAACGGUAACCACAUACGCCGCUUGCUAGUUGCGUAGCUGCCUCUGCAUAGUUGGGUGCGUUGUUGGGCGAUCGCGUGCGAUUUGUCUACAGCUGUAUUCCGGCUUGUUUCUGGCUAGUUACGUUGGCGGUGUAUCUCCGUGUAAAAGUCAGCCACCUAUCCGACCCGUCUUGAAACACGGACCAAGGAGUUUAGCAUAUGCGCAAGUCAUUGGGUGGUAAACCUAAAGGCGUAAUGAAAGUAAAGACUGCUUCGAGCGGUUGAUAUGGGAUCUGUGCUUGCUUGCAGGCGCAGCGCACCAUAGCCCCGUUCUUGUUGCUUGCAAUAGGGCGGAGGUAGAGCGUAUACGCUGAGACCCGAAAGAUGGUGAACUAUGCCUGAGCAGGAUGAAGCCAGAGGAAACUCUGGUGGAAGUCCGAAGCGGUUCUGACGUGCAAAUCGAUCGUCUGACUUGGGUAUAGGGCGA